rnacentral:pre_miRNA from 10 species
GCCAAGAUGACAUGCUUCUUUAUAUCCCCAUACGGAUCUCUUGGCUAUGGAAUGUAAGGAAGUGUGUGGUUUUGGC